rnacentral:ncRNA from 23 species
UCCUUGGAGAAUUGCACCAAACUAGAGUAGAAUAAGAACUUAUUUGAAAUGGAAUUCCAUGAAUAGGAAA